CGAUGAUAGGGCUCUUUUCGCUCGUUCGCAGGCCGUCCUCAACCUCCUCAACGCCCUCGCAUUGCCGCUGAUAUCUUUCUUGUUCUUCCGUUUGAAUUCUGUAACGAAAUGAUUUACGAGUCUGUUGUCAAAAUCUUCACCGCCGAGAUGAGUAUCGCCGGCAGUGGCUUUGACCUCGAAAAUUCCCUCUUCUAUUGUCAAGAGCGACACAUCGAAAGUUCCACCGCCGAGGUCGAAGAUCAGCACGUUCUGUUCACCUCUACGAGACGCCUUUUUGUCCAGACCAUACGCAAUCGCCGCCGCCGUUGGCUCGUUGAUGAUACGCAUCACGUUGAGUCCAGCAAUAGCACCUGCAUCUUUCGUCGCUUGUCUCUGUGAAUCGUUGAAAUAAGCAGGGACUGUAAUUACCGCGUUCUUGAUAGUUUGCCCCAGAAAAGCUUCCGCGAUUUCUUUCAUCUUAGUCAAAACCAUAGAAGAGAUCUCCUCCGGAGCAAACUGCUUCUCUUCACCUUUGUAAUUAACAAUAAUCAUCGGCUUGUCUCCAGGUCCAGCCACCACUUUGAAUGGCCAAAGCUUCAUAUCGCUCUGAACAGAGGGAUCAGAGAGUCGUCGGCCGAUCAACCGCUUGGCGUCGAAAACGGUAUUCUGAGGAUUCAUAGCGACCUGAUUCUUAGCCGCAUCGCCGAUCAAACGCUCAGUGUCGGUGAAAGCUACAUAAGAAGGAGUGGUUCGGUUACCUUGAUCAUUGGGGAUAAUUUCAACACGAUCGUUGAGCCAAACCCCGACACAGCUGUAGGUGGUGCCAAGGUCG
rnacentral:misc_RNA from 1 species